rnacentral:lncRNA from 1 species
AUGUAGAGGCAGGCGCUUUCAGUGACGUCAGGCCCGCACGACGGUCUGCGCAUGCGCCUUGCCGGAAGCAGCGGGGACUGCUCAGCGGAUGGGUUACAAGUAAGAACGUAAACGAAGGAGUUUGUAAAGUGUGAAGCAACUCCUUGCGUGAGGGAACCGUGAGAGACCGGAAUCUUAUAAUUUGAGUUCCUUGGUGAAAACUGCAGAACCACAGCUAAUGAUUGCUGAAGAGAGGCUUGACACUUCCCUCAGCUCAGGAUCUGAGAACCAUCUCUUUGAAAUGUGAUCAUCAAGGAAGAUAGUGCCCCCAUCUCCCAGUUUCUGUGGGCAGCUAAGAGCCCAACCUUGGACAUGUUGCAAAACUACCUCAUUAUAAAGUUGCCUACCUUCCUGGGAUGAUAAACAGAGAUGAACUCCUACUACAACUUCUCCUUUGCCGUUUGAGAGUGGAAAUCAGGACUUCAACAGAUCAAGAAGUCAUCUAAUUCAUAUGGUGACAUAACAGCCCAAAAGAAUUCACUGAAGAUCAUUUAGGCACUUUACGAAUUUGUAGUAAAACAGUAAAGGUCUGGGAACAGGUUCCUAUAUUUAAGAAAAUGGGGUUUAAAUAAAAGUAAUAGGUCAC